rnacentral:lncRNA from 1 species
GUUCCUCAUACAUGCGACCGAACGCCGCGUUUUUAGCUUCCGUGACUGCCAUCUUAGCUUCUCUUCUCGCCUCUCUGUAGACCAACCUGUUCGCUCUCUGCUCCUCCUCGCUUGUGCUCCCUGCCAACCUAGCGAACGCUGCCUUCUUCACCUCCACUUUUCCUUUGACUACCUCGUUCCACCACCAAUCACCCUGAUGACCACCUGAAUAUCCCUUAGAAACCCCGAGCACGUCCCGUGCUACCCCCUAACCAAGUUUGCUGUCGCUGACCACAUAGCGUCCGCUUCCCCAUAACUUCUCCAAGCUCCGCCCUCA